rnacentral:rRNA from 1 species
UAAUACGGAGGAUCCGAGCGUUAUCCGGAUUUAUUGGGUUUAAAGGGUGCGUAGGCGGCCUAUUAAGUCAGGGGUGAAAGACGGCAGCUUAACUGUCGCAGUGCCUUUGAUACUGAUGGGCUUGAAUGCGGAUGAGGUAGGCGGAAUGAGACAAGUAGCGGUGAAAUGCAUAGAUAUGUCUCAGAACUCCGAUUGCGAAGGCAGCUUACUAAGUCGUGAUUGACGCUGAUGCACGAAAGCGUGGGGAUCAAACAGG